UACGUAGGGUGCGAGCGUUGUCCGGAAUUAUUGGGCGUAAAGGGCUCGUAGGCGGUUUGUCGCGUCGGGAGUGAAAACUCAGGGCUUAACUCUGAGCUUGCUUUCGAUACGGGCAGACUUGAGGCAUGCAGGGGAGAACGGAAUUCCUGGUGUAGCGGUGAAAUGCGCAGAUAUCAGGAGGAACACCGGUGGCGAAGGCGGUUCUCUGGGCAUGUUCUGACGCUGAGGAGCGAAAGUGUGGGGAGCGAACAGG
rnacentral:rRNA from 1 species